rnacentral:rRNA from 1 species
UGGAGUGGAUAACUGCUGAAAGCAUAACAGCAACCCUUUAAAAAGUGCGUAAUAGCUUACUGGUCAAGUGAUUUUGCGCCGAAAAUGAAUGGGACUAAGUAAAUUGCCGAAGCUAUAGAAUAUUUAUUAUUGGUAGAAGAGCGUUUUGUAUUAGGUAGAAGUAAUGACGUAAGUUUUUAUGGACUAACCAAAAGUGAGAAUGUCGGCUUAAGUAACGAAAAUGUUGGUGGAAAUCCAAUACCCCGAAAACCUAAGGUUUCCUUUGCAAGGUUCGUCCACAAAGGGUUAGUCAGAUCCUAAUAUAAUAUUGAAGAAUGUAGUUGAUGGGAAACAGGUUAAUAUUCCUGUACUUUUAUUUGUUUAAUUAAGAAGGACGAAGAAGGUUAUGUUAUCCAAAUUUUGGUUUUUUGGUCUAAUUAUUUGAGGUUUUGAGAAAUAUUAAAAAAAAUGUUUUGAGCUAAAAAUAAAAAAGCGAUUCAGAUUACGAUCUGUUAAGUAAUUUAUACCAUGCUUCCAAGAAAAGUUCUAAUAAUGUGUAACAAAAAAAUCUGUACCGUAAACUGACACAGGUGGGUUAGUUGAGAAUACUAAGGGGAUCGAGAUAACUCUUUCUAAGGAACUCGGCAAAAUGGCUCUGUAACUUCGGAAUAAAGAGUGCCCCUAAAUUAAGGGGUCGCAGUGAUUAGAUCUAGACGACUGUUUACCAAAAACACAGGUCUCCGCUAAGUUGUAAAACGAUGUAUGGGGGCUGACGCCUGCUCAGUGCCGGAAGGUUAAAAAAACUUGUUAGUGUAUACAAAGCUUGUAAUUGAAGCCCCGGUGAACAGCGGCCGUAACUAUAACGGUCCUAAGGUAGCGAAAUUCCUUGUCAGGUAAGUUCUGACCCGCACGAAAGGCGUAACGAUCUAGAUACUGUCUCAGAAAGAGGCUCGGUGAAAUAGAAUUGACUGUGAAGAUGCGGUCUACUUACACUUGGACAGAAAGACCCUAUGAAGCUUUACUGUAGGUUGAUAUUGUUUUUGGUUUUUCUUUGCGCAGUAAUAGGUGGGAGGCUUAGAACUUGUUUUUCGGAAUUUAGGGAGCCACAAUUUGAGAUACCACUCUUAGAAAAUUUGAAAUCUAAAGGCGUAAAUAAACGCUUGACAGUGUCAGUUGGGCAGUUUUACUGGGGCGGUAGCCUCCUAAAGAGUAACGGAGGCGUACAAAGGUUUUCUCAAUUUAGAUGGAAAUUAUAUGUAGAGUGUAAAGAUAUAAGAAAGCUUGAUUGUGAGACUUAUAAGUCGAGCAAGGACGAAAGUCGGUCUUAGUGAUCCAACAAUGCUGAGUGGAAAGGUUGUUGCACGCAGAUAAAAGUUACUCUAGGGAUAACAGGCUGAUCUCCCCCGAGAGUUCACAUCGACGGGGAGGUUUGGCACCUCGAUGUCGGCUCAUCGCAACCUGGGGCAGUAGUAUGUCCCAAGGGUUGGGCUGUUCGCCCAUUAAAGCGGUACGUGAGCUGGGUUCAGAACGUCGAGAGACAGUUCGGUCCAUAUCCGGUGUAAGCGUUAAAGAUUGAAAUUAGCUUUCCUUAGUACAAAAGGACCGGGAAGG